rnacentral:rRNA from 1 species
CGGCGAACGGGUGAGUAACGCGUGGGUAACCUACCCAGAAGUUGGGGAUAGCCCCGGGAAACCGGGGAUAAUACCGGAUGUGUCCCAGACGACAUAAGUCGAUUGGGAGAAAGGCGGGGAUCUUCGGACCUGCCGCUUCUGGAUGGGCCCGCGUCCGAUUAGCUUGUUGGUGAGGUAAUGGCUCACCAAGGCAUCUAUCGGUAGCCGGCCUGAGAGGGUGAACGGCCACAUUGGGACUGAGACACGGCCCAG